rnacentral:rRNA from 1 species
GCCUAACACAUGCAAGUCGAGGGGUAACAUGGAGUGCUUGCACUCCGAUGACGACCGGCGCACGGGUGCGCACCGCGUAUGGAACCUGCCCUUUGCAGGGGAAUAGCCCAGAGAAAUUUGGAUUAAUGCCCCGUGGUACCGUAACCUCUCCUGAGGACUCGGUUAAAGCCUUCGGGCGGCAAAGGAUGGCCAUGCGUCCCAUUAGUUAGUUGGUAAGGUAACGGCUUACCAAGACCGCGAUGGGUAGGGGCCCUGAGAGGGGGAUCCCCCACACUGGUACUGAGACACGGACCAGACUCAUACGGGAGGC